GCUGAAAGUUAGUAUACCUUGUGCUCAAAUAUACGCCUUUUUAAUCUGUAUUGGCCGGUAGUGCGAGCCUAUCACAAGAGAAAGGGGUUGUUAUUUGUGCGCAUUUUUCCUUGUUAACCCAAACCCCUCUACCCCUUCUUUUCUUAACUCUACCCUUUAACAUCA